rnacentral:rRNA from 1 species
GGCGAGGUCUAGUACGGCGAGUGAGCGGCAGAGCUCAAAUUUGAAAGCUGGCUCCUUCGGAGUCCGCAUUGUAAUUUGCAGAGGAUGCUUUGGGUGCGGCCCCCGUCUAAGUGCCCUGGAACGGGCCGUCAGAGAGGGUGAGAAUCCCGUCUUGGGCGGGGUGUCCGUGCCCGUGUAAAGCUCCUUCGACGAGUCGAGUUGUUUGGGAAUGCAGCUCUAAAUGGGUGGUAAAUUUCAUCUAAAGCUAAAUACUGGCCGGAGACCGAUAGCGCACAAGUAGAGUGAUCGAAAGAUGAAAAGCACUUUGAAAAGAGAGUUAAACAGCACGUGAAAUUGUUGAAAGGGAAGCGCUUGCGACCAGACUCGCCCGCGGGGUUCAGCCGGCAUUCGUGCCGGUGUACUUCCCCGUGGGCGGGCCAGCGUCGGUUUGGGCGGCCGGUCAAAGGCCCCUGGAAUGUAGUGCCCUCCGGGGCACCUUAUAGCCAGGGGUGCAAUGCGGCCAGCCUGGACCGAGGAACGCGCUUCGGCACGGACGCUGGCAUAAUGGUCGUAAACGACCCGUCUUGAAACACGGACCAAGGAGUCUAACAUCUACGCGAGUGUUCGGGUGUCAAACCCGUGCGCGCAGUGAAAGCGAACGGAGGUGGGAGCCCCCUUGCGGGGCGCACCAUCGACCGAUCCUGAUGUCUUCGGAUGGAUUUGAGUAAGAGCGUAGCUGUGGGGACCCGAAAGAUGGUGAACUAUGCCUGAAUAGGGCGAAGCCAGAGGAAACUCUGGUGGAGGCUCGCAGCGGUUCUGACGUGCAAAUCGAUCGUCAAAUUUGGGUAUAGGGGCGAAGAUAACGCCCUCUUUUAUUAUAAAAAUGUUUUUUGGUUAAUCUCUAUGUAA